rnacentral:rRNA from 1 species
AAAUUGAAGAGUUUGAUCAUGGCUCAGAUUGAACGCUGGCGGCAGGCCUAACACAUGCAAGUCGAGCGGUAACAUUUCAAAAGCUUGCUUUUGAAGAUGACGAGCGGCGGACGGGUGAGUAAUGCCUGGGAAUAUGCCUUGAUGUGGGGGAUAACUAUUGGAAACGAUGGCUAAUACCGCAUAAUGCCUACGGGCCAAAGAGGGGGAUCUUCGGACCUCUCGCGUCAAGAUUAGCCCAGGUGGGAUUAGCUAGUUGGUGAGGUAAUGGCUCACCAAGGCGACGAUCCCUAGCUGGUCUGAGAGGAUGAUCAGCCACACUGGAACUGAGACACGGUCCAGACUCCUACGGGAGGCAGCAGUGGGGAAUAUUGCACAAUGGGCGCAAGCCUGAUGCAGCCAUGCCGCGUGUGUGAAGAAGGCCUUCGGGUUGUAAAGCACUUUCAGUCGUGAGGAAGG